UGGGGAAUAUUGCACAAUGGGGGGAACCCUGAUGCAGCCAUGCCGCGUGAAUGAAGAAGGCCUUCGGGUUGUAAAGUUCUUUCGGUGACGAGGAAGGUUGAUAGGUUAAUAGCCUAUCAAAUUGACGUUAAUCACAGAAGAAGCACCGGCUAACUCCGUGCCAGCAGCCGCGGUAAUACGGGGGGUGCGAGCGUUAAUCGGAAUAACUGGGCGUAAAGGGCACGCAGGCGGUGACUUAAGUGAGAUGUGAAAGCCCCGAGCUUAACUUGGGAAUUGCAUUUCAUACUGGGUCGCUAGAGUACUUUAGGGAGGGGUAGGAUUCCACGUGUAGCGGUGAAAUGCGUAGAGAUGUGGAGGAAUACCGAAGGCGAAGGCAGCCCCUUGGGAAUGUACUGACGCUCAUGUGCGAAAGCGUGGGGAGCAAACAGGAUUAGAUACCCUGGUAGUCCACGCUGUAAACGAUGUCGAUUUGGGGAUUGGGCUUUAAGCUUGGUGCCCGUAGCUAACGUGAUAAAUCGACCGCCUGGGGAGUACGGCCGCAAGGUUA
rnacentral:rRNA from 1 species